rnacentral:snoRNA from 1 species
GGCCUCCUGGUGCUUACCACAGGCUCUGUUACUCUGAUUGUAUAGAAAGAGGAGGCAAAGUAAAUCUGCCCCAUGUUCACCUCAGCCCCAGUCUGUAUUGUGAAUAUGGAGACGUAG